rnacentral:tRNA from 1 species
GGAGAUGUAGCUCAGUGGUAGAGUGCAUGCUUAACCUACAUGAGGACAUGGGUUCAGGUCCCAUCACCA